UACGUAUGGGCAAGCGUUAUCCGGAAUUAUUGGGCGUAAAGAGUGCGUAGGUGGUUACCUAAGCGCAAGGUUUAAUCUUGAGGCUCAACCUCAUUCUGCCUUGCGAACUGGGCUACUUGAGUGCAGGAGGGGAAAGCGGAAUUCCCAGUGUAGCGGUGAAAUGCGUAGAUAUUGGGAAGAACACCGGUGGCGAAGGCGGCUUUCUGGACUGUAACUGACACUGAGGCACGAAAGCGUGGGGAGCAAACAGGAUUAGAUACCCUGGUAGUCCCUGA
rnacentral:rRNA from 1 species